AAGGGUUAGUAAUGGAUAGGUAACGUACCCCGAGCUCCGGAAUAGCCAUUCGAAAGGAUGGGUAAUACCGGAUAAUACCAUGUGUCCUAAGGCAUAUGGUCAAAGAUUUAUCGGCGCGGGAGCGGCCUGUCUCCCAUCAGUUUGUUGGUGAGGUAACGGCUCACCAAGGCAGCGACGGGUAGCGGGACUGAGAGGUUGACCCGCAACAUCGGGACUGAGACACUGCCCGGACCUCCACGGAGGGCUGCAGUAACGAAUAUUGCGCAAUGGGCGAAAGCCUGACGCAGCGACGCCGCGUGUAGGAUGAAGUCCCUCGGGAUGUAAACUACUGUCAGGGGUUAGAAAGUCCGGUUCGCCGGAUUGAUCGGCCCCAGAGGAAGUCACGGCUAACUUCGUGCCAGCAGCCGCGGUAAUACGAAGGUGGCUAGCGUUGUUCGGUGUCACUGGGCUUAAAGCGUGUGUAGGCGGAAAAGCAAGCGUUUUGUGAAAGCCCCCGGCUUAACCGGGGAACUGCAAGACGAACUGCUUUUCUUGAGGCAAGCAGGGGUGCGUGGAACUCUUGGUGGAGCGGUGGAAUGCGUAGAUAUCAAGAGGAACGCCGGUGGUGAAGACGACGCACUGGGCUUGUCCUGACGCUGAGACACGAAAGCGUGGGGAGCGAACGGGAUUAGAUACCCCGGUAGUCCACGCCGUAAACGAUGUCUACUAGGUUGUGGGAGUUCUGACACUUUCACGGCCGAAGCAAAAGUGCUAAGUAGACCGCCUGGGGAGUACGGUCGCAAGGCUAAAACUCAAAGGAAUUGACGGGGGCUCACACAAGCGGUGGAGCAUGUGGAUUAAUUCGAAGCAACGCGCAGAACCUUACCUGGGUUUGACAUGCUUGGAUGACUGCCUGGAAACAGGUUAGUCUGCCCUUCGGGGUGAAACUUGCACAGGUGCUGCAUGGCUGUCGUCAGCUCGUGUCGUGAGAUGUCGGGUUAAGUCCUUUAACGAGCGAAACCCUUGCCGUUUGUUUCCACCGGGUAAUACCGAGUAGUCUAACCGGGAGCGUACCGGUGUCAAACCGGAGGAAGGUGGGGACGACGU
rnacentral:rRNA from 1 species